AUUGAACGCUGGCGGCAGGCUUAACACAUGCAAGUCGAGCGAGCGGCGGACGGGUGAGUAAUGUCUGGGAAACUGCCUGAUGGAGGGGGAUAACUACUGGAAACGGUAGCUAAUACCGCAUACCAUCAGAUGUGCCCAGAUGGGAUUAGCUAGUAGGUGGGGUAAUGGCCUACCUAGGCAACGAUACAUAGCCGACCUGAGAGGGUGAUCGGCCACACUGGGACUGAGACACGGCCCAGACUCCUACGGGAGGCAGCAGUAGGGAAUCUUGGGCAAUGGGGGCAACCCUGACCCAGCAACGCCGCGUGAGUGAAGAAGGUCUUCGGAUUGUAAAGCACUUUAAGUUGGGAGGCGUUACCAACAGAAUAAGCACCGGCUAACUUCGUGCCAGCAGCCGCGGUAAUUC
rnacentral:rRNA from 1 species